CUGCAGUGCUUCUAAUGAGUAUUAAUAGCACCUGAGGGAGGAAGAGCCUCCUUUUCUCAAGGUUUUGGCUGUGUUCUUGGAGUUUCUGCCUUGUGUAACUACAGUGUAACAGUUUUACUGCUGAGACCAUGAUAGAAUUACUGCAAGGUAAAUUUUCCACGCUGUUCAAGCCUAUGACCUGACAGAAUCAGAAUGUCCUAAAAUGUUCAUGUCAUCAAGGCCAUGGUCCCCUAACACAAGUUAAGUCACCACUCACCUCCUGGAGGAAUGCUGACUAAUUCCUUCCAAGAGAAAAUCUGGUUGCAGCUGAUGACAUGUUUUCUUCAGGGACCAGUGAAGCCAAAUAGUGUAAUGUAAGUCACAUCACCUUAGUUUUUCUCCACGUGGCACAGUCUUCCAGUGUUAUCUGGGGAAGCGGAUUCUCAGGAUAAGGCCUGAAAACACAGAAUGCAUUCUCAAGUCACACAUGGGUUUUGUCAUAUACUGAUAUUUUGAUCAAUGCUGGCACUUGAGUGAUAUGCUGCUGAGAA